rnacentral:rRNA from 1 species
UACGUAGGGGGCUAGCGUUGUCCGGAUUUAUUGGGCGUAAAGAGCGUGUAGGCGGCCAGGUAGGUCUGCCGUGAAAACUCGAGGCUCAACCUCGAGAUGUCGGCGGAAACCAUCUGGCUAGAGUCCGGAAGAGGAGAAUGGAAUUCCCGGUGUAGCGGUCAAAUGCGCAGAUAUCGGGAAGAACACCCGUGGCGAAGGCGGUUCUCUGGGACGGUACUGACGCUGAGACGCGAAAGCGUGGGGAGCGAACAGG